AUGAAUGCUUUUGUAUUAUAUUUGUGCUUCUUUGUAUGAUCUGAAAUGUCUGCAGACUGGUGUGAGCAGUGAAAAAGGAGAAAUCCACAGCAGCAUCCUGGAAAUGGUCUGGUGCCAUAGAUGAGAUCCUCCAUCACUCCACCUGCCAUUACUGCCUCAUCUGGGCCAGAUGUUGCUGUGGCCUCUUCAUCCUCAGGACCCCCAAUCCCCUGGAGAAAAGAGCCUUGCUCAGGUAGUUGUGAACCAGCAACCUUCUGCUUACCAGUUCAGCGGUUUAGCCCACUACAAAAGUAAUAGAGCUACAACAAAAAUUAGCAUGUAGUCGAGCAGACACGGUGAUAGCCAGAUUGGAU